rnacentral:misc_RNA from 1 species
UACGGAGGGUGCGAGCGUUAAUCGGAAUUACUGGGCGUAAAGCGCGCGUAGGCGGUUUGGUAAGUCGGAUGUGAAAGCCCCGGGCUUAACCUGGGAAUUGCAUCCGAUACUGCUUAACUAGAGUAUGCUAGAGGGAAGUGGAAUUCCGGGUGUAGCGGUGAAAUGCGUAGAUAUCCGGAGGAACACCAAUGGCGAAGGCAACUUCCUGGGGCAAUACUGACGCUGAGGUGCGAAAGCGUGGGGAGCAAACAGG